rnacentral:rRNA from 1 species
GACGAACGCUGGCGGCGUGCCUAACACAUGCAAGUCGAGCGGAGACAGGAGGGAGCUUGCUCCCGAGCGUUUUAGCGGCGGACGGGUGAGUAACGCGUGAGCAACCUUUCUCUCAGUGGGGAAUAACACAGGGAAACCUGUACUAAUACCGCAUGAGACCACAAUGCCGCAUGGCAUAGGGGUCAAAGAUUUAUUGCUGAGAGGUGGGCUCGCGUCCGAUUAGAUAGUUGGUGAGGUAACGGCUCACCAAGUCGACGAUCGGUAGCCGACCUGAGAGGGUGAUCGGCCACAUUGGGACUGAGACACGGCCCAAACUCCUACGGGAGGCAGCAGUGGGGAAUAUUGCACAAUGGGGGAAACCCUGAUGCAGCAACGCCGCGUGAAGGAAGACGGUUUUCGGAUUGUAAACUUCUAUCAAUAGGGACGAAAAAGAUGACGGUACCUAAAUAAGAAGCCCCGGCCUAACUACGUG